rnacentral:misc_RNA from 1 species
GUGAGUCAUCGAAUCUUUGAACGCACAUUGCGCCCCUUGGUAUUCCAUGGGGCAUGCCUGUUCGAGCGUCAUCUACACCCUCAAGCUCUGCUUGGUGUUGGGCGUCUGUCCCGCCUCCGCGCGUGGACUCGCCCCAAAGUCAUUGGCAGCGGUCUUUGCCUCCUCUCGCGCAGCACAUUGCGCUUCUUGAGCGACGGCGGCCCGCGUCCACGAAGCAUACUCUUGUCUUUGACCUCGGAUCAGGUAGGGAUACCCGCUGAACUUAAGCAUAUCAAUAAGCGGAGGA